UACGUAGGGAGCAAGCGUUGUCCGGAAUCAUUGGGCGUAAAGAGCGUGUAGGCGGCCCGAUAAGUCCGCCGUGAAAGUCCAGGGCUCAACCCUGGAAUGCCGGUGGAAACUGUCGGGCUGGAGUCCGGAAGAGGCGAGUGGAAUUCCUGGUGUAGCGGUGAAAUGCGCAGAUAUCAGGAGGAACACCAAUGGCGAAGGCAGCUCGCUGGGACGGUACUGACGCUGAGGAGCGAAAGCGUGGGGAGCGAACAGG
rnacentral:rRNA from 1 species